UUUAUUGAGAGUUUGAUCCUGGCUCAGGAUGAAUGCUGGCGACGUGUCUAAGGCAUGCAAAUCGAGGGGUCCGUAGCAAUACGGACACCGGUAAACGGGUGCGUAACACAUUGGUAACUUACCCCAAAGUCAUGAAUAAGCCUGCGAAAGCGGGUCUAAUACAUGAUGGUAGCGAGGGGACUUAAGUCAUUCUCGCUUAAAGAUUUAUCGCUUUGGGAAAGGCCUAUGGCUUAUCAGCUAGUUGGUGAGGUAAAAGCUCACCAAGGCUAUGACGAGUAGCGGGAUUGAGAGAUCGACCCGCCUCACUGGGACUGAGACACUGCCCAGACUCCUACGGGAGGCUGCAGUCAAGAAUAUUCCCCAAUGGCCGAAAGGCUGAGGGAGCGACG
rnacentral:rRNA from 1 species